AAACUUUCAACAACGGAUCUCUUGGUUCUCGCAACGAUGAAGAACGCAGCGAAAUGCGAUACGUAAUGUGAAUUGCAGGUUUUCGUGAAUCAUCGAAUCUUUGAACGCACAUUGCACCCUCUGGUAUUCCGGAGGGUAUGCCUGUUUGAGCGUCAUU
rnacentral:rRNA from 5 species